UUGUCCUUUCAGCUCAUCACACAAAUGAGCAAGAAUCAUUCCUUCCUAAGAACAAAAAGGAAAUGAAAACAUAACAAGUUACAACUUUUUUGGAAUGAUGGUAAGUAGUAUUGAACAAUAACUAAGAAACCAAGUCCAGUCCCAAAUCCCUACCCGAACGCAAGCAACGGUAAAACACAACCAAAUAUAUCAUAAACAACUACAACACAAGGAGUCAGGGACACAACCAAAUCUAUCAUAAACAAACACACCAGCUAUAAAUACAGCCGCGAUUAAUAAUACAAGUUAAAGAGUAUACCAUAUUGAUCUUCAAGAUGUACACAGAGCAUGAUCUCAAAAGCAACAAGCAGUGGCGUUGCCAUAACAGAUUGAAAAG
rnacentral:lncRNA from 1 species